CANUAACGGCGAGUGAAGCGGCAACAGCUCAAAUUUGAAAUCUGGCCCCAGGCCCGAGUUGUAAUUUGCAGAGGAUGCUUUUGGCGCGGUGCCUUCCGAGUUCCCUGGAACGGGACGCCAUAGAGGGUGAGAGCCCCGUACGGUUGGACACCAAGCCUUUGUAAAGCUCCUUCGACGAGUCGAGUAGUUUGGGAAUGCUGCUCAAAAUGGGAGGUAUAUUUCUUCUAAAGCUAAAUAUAGGCCAGAGACCGAUAGCGCACAAGUAGAGUGAUCGAAAGAUGAAAAGCACUUUGAAAAGAGGGUUAAACAGCACGUGAAAUUGUUAAAAGGGAAGCGCUUGUGACCAGACUUGCGUCCGGUGAAUCACCCAGCUCUCGCGGCUGGGGCACUUCGCCGGCACAGGCCAGCAUCAGCUUGCCGUCGGGGACAAAAGCUUCAGGAACGUAGCUCUCUUCGGGGAGUGUUAUAGCCUGUUGCAUAAUACCCUUCGGCGGGCUGAGGUACGCGCUCCGCAAGGAUGCUGGCGUAAUGGUCAUCAGCGACCCGUCUNAAGNAUA
rnacentral:rRNA from 1 species